rnacentral:rRNA from 1 species
AUUGAACGCUGGCGGCAGGCUUAACACAUGCAAGUCGAGCGAGCGGCGGACGGGUGUGACAUGUCUGGGAAACUGCCUGCUGGAGGGGGUUAACUACUGGAACCGGGAGCAAAUCCCGCUUACCAUCAGAUGUGCCCAGAUGGGCUUAGCUAUUAGGUGGGGUAAUGGUUCACCUACGCGACGAUCCCUAGCUGGUCCGAGAGGAUGACCAGCCCAACUGGAACUAGGACACGGUCCAGACUCCUACGUGAGGCAGCAGUGGGGAAUAUGGGACAAUGGGCGCAAGCCUGAUGCAGACAUGCGGCGUAGGUGAAGAAGGCCUUCGGGUUGUAAAGCACUUUCAUCGAGGAGGCGUUACUCGCAGAAGAAGCACCGGCUAACUCCGUGCCAGCAGCCGCGGUAAUAC